GUGUUGGUCUGGGUGUUGAAGUUCACCAAACUCCUGCAGAGGUUCUCAGAAAACUCGGAGACAAAGUCCAGUUGGUCUGCAGCCAUGCAAGGACCGACUACACUCUGAUGCUGUGGUACCAGAAAUCCCCUGGAGAACAAACUCUGAAGCGCAUUGGACACGUGAAUUAUGGCAUCAUUGAGCACGAGAAGCCUUUUGAAAGCAACUUUAACAUCACGGGAGACAUGAGCGGAGAGACAGCAAAGAAGGGUUCUCUGUUCAUAGUCGAUCUCCAAGCUGAGCACAGUGCAGUGUAUUACUGCGCAGCUAGCUAUGCACACUGA